rnacentral:rRNA from 1 species
CUCUAAGGCUAAAUACUCGUGAUCGACCGAUAGUGAACCAGUACCGUGAGGGAAAGGCGAAAAGAACCCCGGAGAGGGGAGUGAAAUAGAACCUGAAACCGUAUGCGUACAAGCAGUGGGAGCACCUUCGGGUGUGACUGCGUACCUUUUGUAUAAUGGGUCAGCGACUUACGUUGCGUGGCGAGCUUAACCGAAUAGGGGAGGCGAAGCGAAAGCGAGUCCGAAUAGGGCGAAUGAGUCGCGCGGCGUAGACCCGAAACCGGGUGAUCUAUCCAUGGCCAGGGUGAAGGCACCCUAACCGGUGCUGGAGGCCCGAACCCACUACUGUUG